ensembl:lncRNA
AGGAACUCCCUGUAUAGUGGUUGUGCUUCUCUUGGGCUAUUAUGAGUUGUUUGGAAGGGGGCUGCUGAAAUUAUCUGUGCUUUAGACCCUGGAGCCAAAUAAAGGGAAAUAGUUGGGAAGAUACCAUAUUCCGUGGGAAGCAGGGACCACGCUGCUAAACAGCCAGGGGAGGCUCAUGCUUCCCUAAUAUCCAUCACUCCCUGCUUCCAGCGUGGUCACAGACAGAACAACAAAGAGGGUCUCAGAGUUUAUAGGGGCUGGAAGCAAAGCUCCCUAAAGUCAGGAGGAGACAUUCCAGUGACUUCAAAUGGCUUUGGAUCAGGCCUGUCACGUGAGAUUAGCUCCUGACAGAGGAUGCUAUGAGCACAGGAGCAGAACAGAAUGAUUUAGGGAUGGAAUUUCACUUAUGCCCCGAUCAUCUUUGCUUUGUGUUGUUAUCAUCUGUUAGACACAAUCUUUUGAAGUAAUGUUACAUUUAUUUUGUAUUAAAAAUGUCUGCAUUGCUUUGUGUUGUGGAUAUAUGGUUCUACAGAAAUAGUCUUCUAACUUACUUUUUACAACUACUGUCUAUUUAUCUAUUUUUUGGCUUCUGUUAGAGGAUUCUCUUUGGGUAUGAGAGUGUGAAACAGCAAGUUAAAAACAGCUGUUGGAAUUCUUCUUUUCUUGUUAAGGAACGUGUUCUGUACAAGAAACUAAUGGCUUCCAAAGCUUCUCUUUAAAAAAAAGCCAUCACCUAUUCACUCCCCCCAAAAACAGAAGAGAUUGCUUCAUGAUUUGUGAGAAAUUGCAGUCAGUUUGACACGUGUGGUUGAUUUGCAUUGGAAAUUCACGUAUCUUAAACACAUUGAAAGUAACCAAGAGAAAACCCAUGUAGUUUCGUAGAACUAAAUAAAACAGGAGCAUUUUACAGCACUUCUUUGGUAAGACCAAAUAUGACUAGGAAGCUGUAAACUUUCACAGGUGAUUUGUGUUCAUAAAUGAAAGCCUAUCAGACUUGUAAACACUCUAGUGAUGCUGGACAUCAUUAUCUUCAAGGAAAAAUUGCCUUUGGUUCUUAUUGAUUGUGGCUCUUCUAAUGAAUACGAAGUCUGUGUGGUGAAUGAUAAGUGAUGUGGCUGUCACUCCUUCCUCGCCCUCAUACAAAAUAAGGCAUUUACUCUCAGCUGGGAUCAGGCACAACCUUGGGUUUGUUUUGUGUGGAUAAAAGGCACCACAAAGGGGUAAAAAGGCGGCUGGUGUAACUAUCAGCCAUCACCAUGUGCAUGCAAACAUCCUUACUUACACAGACAUGAUUGCACCACAUCUUUCACUUGAACUGAAAAAACUUUGCCUUUUCCCGUUUAGUCUGUGGUUAAUGAUUCAGUCAUCUGCAAGUCUAACUCAUAUAAACUUCUCUUACACUCUGGAGGGGGAUACUCUUAUUUGCAAAGUAAAUUUAAAUAUUCCAUUUAUGCUUACGUUGCAUAGUUUUGUAGCAUAGUUACAUGUAAGGAUUGCAAAGAACGUUGACUUGAUUUUAAGUUUGCCUUAAUUUGCCAUUAUCCAUGUGUUGCUUUUCAUGCUUAAAUAUUUAGGUGAGGAAUAAAGGAAGUCUUAGAGGUGAUAUGGCCAGUGGUGUAUUUCUGAGGAAACAGAAAAUUGCCAUUUAGACAUCAUAAAUCUUAGAAAAAAAUGCUGUGAAACAGAAAUACUGAAUGUCAUAUGAAGAAAACAUCAUUUUUUUUUUUUUUCCCAGCUAAACAGCACAACAGUGCAUUAUGUAGUAAAAGGAAUCUGUAAUGUUGGAGGCAUAUCUUGAGUAAAUUUGCUGUAAAUAAAAAUGAAAAAUUAUUUGUAAAGAGUAUAUUUACAUUGCAGUCAUAAAAAUAAACAGUACUGACAAGGAGUUGUCAUCAAAGACACUUUUAUAGGCUUAAGAAUUCACCC